UUCACUCGAGUGAACACAAACUCCAGCAGAGACACAAACACUUCAACACACUGAGAGAGAAACACCUCAGAUGAUAAAAACUCAGUGUGACAGAAAAUAGUUUUUAAAAAGUACAAGAAAACACUUUCACACAAAAUCCUGUCAUGUGCUGAUAAAACACUUUUUAAAGAAAUGCAUGUGACGAGCUGUACAGCUAUACAGUAAAACUGAUUUUAAGAUAGUAGUAUGUCAUUUUAUUAAUACAAUUAUUAGUGCUGUUUAAAGAUGACAUGAAGAUAAUGUUGGUCCAUGUAUGUUGAGAUCACAUGACCUGACGGAAACUACUCACUUUAUCUUGGUAACACUCAGAUACUUUAACUUCAUGAAUAAAUGCAUCAUGGAUGACUGUGAAUGUUAUUUCUACAUCAGCACUGAAAACUAAAAACACCACAUACACACUGAUAGAUAUUAAUAUAAAGUCAAAUAUUAAAGUCAUAUCAGCCAGCUGAAACAUAAAGAAAAAAUAUAUUUUACAAAGAAUCCACAUGUUAUUUUCACAACUGGUUCAAAACAUUAUUUUCAAAGUUAAAUAUUAUCUGUAAAGUUUUUAAUAUUUUGUCAGCAGCUCAAGAUAAACCCCGCCCACUUCUUUACAUCAUCAGACAUGCUUCAGUGCUCUGAGAGUGUUUAUAGUGCUGUGAGUUUAACACUUCAUGACUGAGAGCAGAACACAACACAAUCUUCAUCAUCACACAAGACUCAACUACUACAAUGAACAACAUCCUCAUCCUCAUCUGGACUCUCACGCUGUUUGCUCAAGAGUGUAGAGGACAGAUCACUGUAACUCAGAGUCCAUCAUUAAUAACAACAACUCGAGGACAAGACGUCACAAUAAACUGUAAAACCAGCA